rnacentral:piRNA from 1 species
UGGAGCCUGAGGCCAGCUGUCUCUCC